CUGUGAACAGAAACCCAUAUAGGUGGGAUGAGGUUGAGACUGGAAAAGCCAGCUUGCAUUUCUCUUCUUUUCAGUCAGGGUAGGGAGGGGAGCAGUUUUGGGGUGCAUGUCUGGGGAAUGCUGGAUCCACCAGGGAGGCGGAUGUCUGGGAAGGCAGCAGGGGGGCUACAGGGACCGGAAGUGCUGAGGUGGCCAGAGGGGUGUUGCAAUGCUGCCAGGGUAGUGUCUGUGUGUCCCUUUCAAAUCAUCCCCUCUCAUCUCCAGACUGACACGUGGUUGUGGGGAAAUAAGUUUAGCCAAGCUAGGGUCUGGAUCCGGGGCCACCCUCUCCCAGCUGCCAGGGAUCACUGGGGGUCAAAGGUGGCUGAGAGGAGGGAGGAAGCCCUGCAUCCAUCCCUGAGAAGCAGAGACCCCUCACCAGCCAUGAGGCUUGUCCUGUCACUCCCGGUCCUGUUGGUGGCUCUGUGGAUGGUGUGUGAAGGUAAAAGGGGAGAGGAGACCCUGGGAGUUAGAGAUUUGGAAAUGUGAAGCUGGCCUCAGGCAUGGGGUUCAGGCUCAGAGGAUCCUCGAGAUCACUGGGCCUCCUUCUGUGCCCUGGGUCCCUGUCAUCCACAAAUCAUCCCCUGCACCACACUAGCCGGGCCACAGCUUCCCCAUGGCUUCGUCCAGCAGGUGGGAGAUCCGCCCAGAUGAGCCCUACCAACCCGUGACCUACUGACCUUCAUCUCUCCAGGACUGGCUGUCCUCCUUUCACAGGCUGGAGAGGGGAGACAGGGGUGGGGUUGGGGAGGGUGGCGGUGCGGGAGGGUGUUCUGUGUGAGAAUAAGGUAGUUCCUGGCAGCUUGAGCUGCAUCUGUGAGCUCCAGGACCCUCCCCGCAUUCUAUAGGAUGAUGGCUUAGAACCCCUUUGGUGGACCUCAUUUCCCAUCCCGGGAAGCUCAUUGUGAGGCCUCCUGAUACUGAAAUCUUUCCACCCUACCCCUCCUUUGGACAGGACCAUCCUGGGCCCAGGCGGACCCAGAGCCAGCCGGCAUCUUGGAUGCCCUCCCGGACACUGUGAAGAAGAUUGCACACACCCUGGGGAACAAGGACCAGGGAGUCCCUGACAAGCUGAAAAAGAAGGACUCUGCUUCAGUCACCCGGUUAGUCCCCUUCCCGGGACCCCGAUGGGCUGGGGUUUAUGGAUGAGGAGAUUGGGAAAACUGAGGCUGGGGAGGAUGACAAGGUCCCUGCGGUCACACAGCUGGCUCUCUGGGUGCUCAGACUUGGGGGACAGGUUCCUGACUCCGUCCAGGCUCAUGUGGAGAUGGCCCCAGGUGGUGGGGACAGACCCAAGCUGGGGCUGCACAGACCUGGGGCACAGGCUGGGGCGGACACACUCCUCCUGUGACCUCAGGAGCCGCAGUUUCUCCAUCUGUGCCAUGGGGGCUUCUGAGGGGAAGGACCUGGAGGACCACAUGGGGCCUGGCACAGUGUGGACGCUCCAUGGUGUUUGGCCCACAGUGGCUCUGUCUGAGGAGUUAGGAAAGCAUUCGUUCCUGAACAAAUAUUCAUUGAGCAUCAGCUCACGGCCAGGACCUGGUGCAUCUGGGAACAGGACGAAGUCUCAGCUCACGGGAGGUGCCAUUCAGAGGAGGGACAGGGAAGGGAACAGCCCAUGAACCAGGGAGUUCCAGGAGAGGAGCCCAGAGGGAGCUCAGCACUGAGAAGACGAUAAACAGGGUGUUGAGAACAAGCAGGGACGGAGAGGAGCUCUUGUAGACAGGGUGACUGGGUCUGCUCUGAAGAGUGACACUUUCAAUUGAGAUCUGAAUGAGGGAAAAUGCAGCAGGGACCAGGAACUUGGGGAGAAUGUUCCUUGUGGACGGGGAGUGCAAAGGCCCUGAGGCGGGAAGAUGUGCACAUAGUCAAGGAGAGGGUGGCACUGGAGGACAAGGGAAUACCAUGAGCAAAGGUAGGGCGGCUGGAAAGUGUCCUUGAAUCAUCAGGGGACAGGGGACAGUGAGGGCAAGAGUGGGCGUGGGGGCAGAGAGGGCAGGCCUGGAGAGCCGGGCUAGCGUGAAGCCUUCUGACUUCAAGGAGCUCUGGUCCCUCUGGGAAACAAACACAGGAGUGGGGCCACCCAGUCCUGGGCUCCUCCUUGUUGUCGUGGGGGAAGAGAAACACCAGGGAGUCAGGGUACGGUGGGAUUGGGGCAAAACACAGUGACCUCUCCCCGUCUCUCUCUACAGGAAAGUGGCGGCAAAUACAACCAAAAAUAUUCCAGUUAAAAUAGAUCUCAUUCCCGUCCACAGAAGCAGGUUGCCCCUCUUACCCUUCAAUCCUAGCCGCAUCCACCUGCCGCCCGUCCAACCAAGCAGGAUCCAUUCGCGACGCCCCCAUCCAACCAGGAUCCACCCGCCACGCCUCCACUCAAGCAGGAUCUACCCACUAUGUCCCCACUCAGGCCGGAUACACCCCUUGUUUCCAGGGCUGUGUCCCAGACAGAGGCCCAGACAAAGGCUCUGAAAUUUCCCACAUCCCCAGCCUCUGUGUCGAAGACUUCCCACAGGACAUCCCACGUCCCCUCCACCUCCCACCUGCAAUAAAAAUCCUGUAGAGAAUUCUGAGAGCUUCUUU
rnacentral:lncRNA from 1 species